AUCACGAUAGCUCAAGUGGGAGAGCAGCGGCGUUCUGAGCCGAAGGUCGCGGGUUCGAAUCCCGCUCGUAAUA